UACGGGGGGGGCAAGCGUUGUUCGGAAUUACUGGGCGUAAAGGGCUCGUAGGCGGCCAACUAAGUCAGACGUGAAAUCCCUCGGCUUAACCGGGGAACUGCGUCUGAUACUGGAUGGCUUGAGUUCGGGAGAGGGAUGCGGAAUUCCAGGUGUAGCGGUGAAAUGCGUAGAGUAUCUGGAGGAACACCGGUGGCGAAGGCGGCAUCCUGGACCGACACUGGACGCUGAGGAGCGAAAGCCAGGGGAGCAAACGGG
rnacentral:rRNA from 1 species